rnacentral:rRNA from 1 species
GCAUAACGCGAAGAACCUUACCAAGGCUUGACAUGCAUCUCUAAGCGCGUGAAAGCGCGUGACCCUUCGGGGGAUUUGCACAGGUGCUGCAUGGCCGUCGUCAGCUCGUGUCGUGAGAUGUUGGGUUAAGUCCCGCAACGAGCGCAACCCUUGUGACUAGUUGCCAGCACGUUAUGGUGGGAACUCUAGUCAGACUGCCCAGAUCAACUGGGAGGAAGGUGGGGACGACGUCAAGUCAUCAUGGCCCUUAUGACCAGGGCUACACACGUGCUACAAUGGCCGGUACAAAGGGUUGCCAACCCGCGAGGGGGAGCCAAUCCCAGAAAGCCGGUCGUAGUCCGGAUCGGAGUCUGCAACUCGACUCCGUGAAGUCGGAAUCGCUAGUAAUCGCGAAUCAGCCAUGUCGCGGUGAAUACGUUCCCGGGUCUUGUACACACCG